rnacentral:rRNA from 1 species
AUUGAACGCUGGCGGCAUGCCUAACACAUGCAAGUCGAACAGUAACAGGGGCUUCGGCCCGCUGACGAGUGGCGGACGGGUGAGUAACGCGUAGGAAUCUUCCCAGUAGCGGGGGAUAGCUCGGCGAAAGCCGGAUUAAUACCGCAUACGCCCCACGGGGAAAGGCAGGGGAUCGUGAGACCUUGCACUAUUGGAUGAGCCUACGUCUGAUUAGCUAGUUGGUAGGGUAAAAGCCACCAAGGCGACGAUCAGUAGCUGGUCUGAGAGGACGAUCAGCCACACUGGGACUGAGACACGGCCCAGACUCCUACAGGAGGCAGCAGUGGGGAAUAUUGGACAAUGGGCGCAAGCCUGAUCCAGCAAUGCCGCGUGUGUGAAGAGGGCCUGCGGGUUGUAAAGCACUUUCAGCGGGGAAGAAAAGCUUAGGGUCAAUACCUCUAAGUCUUGACGUCACCCGCAGAAGAAGC